GGGGGGAGCAAGCGUUGUUCGGAUUUACUGGGCGUAAAGGGCGGGUAGGCGGCCACCGCAAGUCAGUUGUGAAAUCUCCGGGCUUAACCCGGAAAGGUCAACUGAUACUGCGGGGCUAGAGUGCAGAAGGGGCAACUGGAAUUCUCGGUGUAGCGGUGAAAUGCGUAGAUAUCGAGAGGAACACCUGCGGCGAAGGCGGGUUGCUGGGCUGACACUGACGCUGAACUGCGAAAGCUAGGGGAGCGAACGGGAUUAGAUACCCCGGUAGUCCUAGCCUUAAACGAUGAAUGCUUGGUGUCUGGGGUUUUAUAGUCCCCGGGUGCCGUCGCUAACGCUUUAAGCAUUCCGCCUGGGGAGUACGGUCGCAAGACUG
rnacentral:rRNA from 1 species